rnacentral:sRNA from 1 species
GGGAUUGUAAAAAAAAA